GAUCUACUCCCUCCGUCCAAAAAUACUUGUCAGGGAAAUGGAUGAAUCUAGACAUAUUUUAUUUCUAGAUACAUCCAUUUUUAUCCAUUUUUUUGACAAGUAUUUCCGGACAGAGGGAGUAUUUA
rnacentral:pre_miRNA from 1 species